GCGCGCCUUGUGUGUGCGCGCGGCUCGCGGCAGCUCGGAGCCUCCGCCUGGCGGGCGGGGAGGGGGAGGGGCAGGUUUUGCGUUCCAUCAUGGCUAUCACACAGUUUCGGUUAUUUAAAGUUUGUACUUGCCUAGCAACAGUAUUCUCAUUCCUAAAGAGGUUAAUAUGCAGAUCUGGUAGAGGACGGAAAUUAAGUGGAGACCAAAUAACUUUGCCAACUACAGUUGAUUAUUCAUCAGUUCCCAAACAGACAGAUGUGGAAGAGUGGACUUCCUGGGAUGAGGAUGCACCCACAAGUGUCAAGAUUGAAGGAGGAAAUGGGAAUGUGGCAACACAACAAAAUGCCUUAGAACAACUGGAGCCUGACUAUUUUAAGGACAUGACACCAACUAUAAGGAAAACCCAGAAGAUCAUCAUUAAGAAGCGAGAACCAUUAAAUUUUGGCAUCCCAGAUGGUAGCACAGGCUUCUCUAGUAGACUAGCAGCUACACAAGAUAUGCCUUUCAUACAUCAAUCUCCUGAAUUGGGUGACUUAGAUACCUGGCAGGAAAACACCAAUGCUUGGGAAGAAGAAGAAGAUGCGGCCUGGCAAGCCGAAGAAGUUCUGAGGCAGCAGAAGAUAGCAGACAGAGAAAAGAGAGCAGCAGAACAACAAAGCAAGAAAAUGGAAAAGGAAGCCCAGCGGCUAAUGAAGAAGGAACAAAAUAAAAUUGGUGUGAAACUUUCAUAACAACUGUUCUUCAGAUGUCAUAGUGCCAGUGGGAGAAAUGCAAGCUCUGCAACCCAAGCAGCAUUUAUAUGGAGCCAAGAGUGUUUUCAGAAUACAAAUACCCUGCUUGAUUUUAAUGCAUUCGUCAGCCAGCCAGGCCACCGGGAUUCUCUCAAAGCCCCCUGAACUCUUAGUGAUUGAGACUCAGAGAACAAAAAAGACUUAUGAGACAAUAUUUUCUUCAACUUGUUCCAAGUGUACGACAAUUGUUUGUUGUAGAGAAAUUAUUACAAAUGGAAUUUAUCAGUACCUCUUCAAGCUAGUGUUUCUAGCUAAUUCAGUGGGUGUAAAUAAUUCUAUGAUGGGAAAGAAUUCUGCUGUCUAUAGUGCUUUCCUUCAAUGUGCAUAAUGUUAAAAUAAAUAAUU